AGAGUUUGAUCAUGGCUCAGAACGUACGCUGGCGGCACGCCUAACACAUGCAAGUCGAACGCAGUAGCAAUACUGAGUGGCAAACGGGUGAGUAAUAUGUGGGAAUCUGCCUUUUGGUUCGGAAUAACACGGGGAAACUUGUGCUAAUACCGAAUAAGCCCUUACGGGGAAAGUUUUAACGCCGAAAGAUGAGCCCGCACUUGAUUAGCUAGUUGGUAAGGUAAAAGCUUACCAAGGCAACGAUCAAUAGCUGUUCUUAGAGGAAGACCAGCCACAUUGGGACUGAGACACGGCCCAGACUCCUACGGGAGGCAGCAGUGGGGAAUCUUGCACAAUGGGGGAAACCCUGAUGCAGCGAUGCCGCGUGAGUGAAGAAGGCCUUUGGGUUGUAAAACUCUUUCGUCGGGGAAGAAAAUGACUGUACCCGAAUAAGAAGGUCCGGCUAACUUCGUGCCAGCAGCCGCGGUAAUACGAAGGGACCUAGCGUAGUUCGGAAUUACUGGGCUUAAAGAGCUCGUAGGUGGUUAAAAAAGUUGAUGGUGAAAUCCCAAGGCUUAACCUUGGAACUGCCAUCAAAACUUUUUAGCUAGAGUGUGAUAGAGGUAAGUGGAAUUUCUAGUGUAGAGGUGAAAUUCGUAGAUAUUAGAAAGAACAUCAAAUGCGAAGGCAACUUACUGGGUCACUACUGACACUGAGGAGCGAAAGCAUGGGUAGCGAAGAGGAUUAGAUACCCUCGUAGUCCAUGCCGUAAACGAUGUGUGCUAGACGUUGGAAAUAUAUUUUUCAGUGUCGCAGCGAAAGCAUU
rnacentral:rRNA from 1 species